UUACGGCCAUAUCACGUUGAAAAACCAAUUCGCGUAAGAUCACCGAAGAUAAGCAUCUUCAUACCUGGUCAGUAACUAGAUGGGUAACCGUUUGGGAAUAUCGGGGGCCGUAA